AACAAACGCUGGCGGCGUGCCUAAUACAUGCAAGUCGAACGGGGAAAGCUUUCGGGUGAGUACUAGUGGCGCACGGGUGAGUAACGCGUGGAUAAUCUGCCUUAGAGUGGGGGAUAACUAGUCGAAAGAUUAGCUAAUACCGCAUAAGACCACAAGAACUGCGGUUCAAGGGGUCAAAGGUUUUUCGCUCUAAGAUGAGUCCGCGUAAGAUUAGCUAGUUGGUGAGGUAAUGGCUCACCAAGGCGACGAUCUUUAACUGGUCUGAGAGGAUGAUCAGUCACACUGGAACUGAGACACGGUCCAGACGCCUACGGGAGGCAGCAGUAGGGAAUAUUGCACAAUGGGGGAAACUCUGAUGCAGCGACGCCGCGUGAGUGAUGAAGGCCUUCGGGUCGUAAAGCUCUGUCGCAAGGGAAUAACACAAUGAAUGUACCUUGCAAGAAAGGAUCGGCUAACUUCGUGCCAGCCGCCGCUGUAACAC
rnacentral:rRNA from 1 species